GCACACAUUCCACUGUUUUUAUAUCCUUUCCUACACACGACAAGUAAAACAAGACCAUUUGAAUACCUUAGACUAACGAGUUUAGGAGUUGUUGGUGCGUUAGUGAAAGUAAGUGAAUAUGAUUUUAUUUUAUUGAAAUGUACCUUGGAUGAUCUUGAUCCUGCACAUACACAUUGUAUAUGCUGUACUUCAAUAUUUUAGCAGCUUUAUUCCAAUCUGUUUUAAUGUAUAUUCUGUACACGUUAUAUAAACAUAUAUUGCACAAGUCAGAAUAUUUUGUGUCUUAUAUAAAUUUGCUAAAUUUUCUGUUGCAGACAGAUGAGCCAGAAGUAAUCAAUUUUCUAUUAACAACAGAAAUCAUUCCAUUAUGCCUGAGAAUAAUGGAGUCUGGUAGUGAAUUAUCAAAAACUGUAAGUUUAGUUUCUUAGACUACUGUACGUUCACAAGAAACUACACACGUAAAAAUCUCACAUCUUGUAACAAGUCUGCCAACAAACCG
rnacentral:lncRNA from 1 species